AGUGAACGCUGGCGGUAGGCCUAACACAUGCAAGUCGAACGGCAGCACAGUCAGAGCUUGCUCUUACGGGUGGCGAGUGGCGGACGGGUGAGGAAUACAUCGGAAUCUACUUUUUCGUGGGGGAUAACGUAGGGAAACUUACGCUAAUACCGCAUACGACCUACGGGUGAAAGCAGGGGAUCUUCGGACCUUGCGCGAUUGAAUGAGCCGAUGUCGGAUUAGCUAGUUGGCGGGGUAAAGGCCCACCAAGGCGACGAUCCGUAGCUGGUCUGAGAGGAUGAUCAGCCACACUGGAACUGAGACACGGUCCAGACUCCUACGGGAGGCAGCAGUGGGGAAUAUUGGACAAUGGGCGCAAGCCUGAUCCAGCCAUACCGCGUGGGUGAAGAAGGCCUUCGGGUUGUAAAGCCCUUUUGUUGGGAAAGAAAAGCAGCAGGUUAAUACCCCGCUGUUCUGACGGUACCCAAAGAAUAAGCACCGGCUAACUUCGUG
rnacentral:rRNA from 1 species